CGAUUAAGCUACCAAGGGCGCACAGGGGAUGCCUAGGUAUCAAGAGCCGAAGAAGGACGUGGUUGACUGCGAAAAGCUUCGAGGAGCCGUCAGCAGGCGUGAAGACUCGGAGGUGUCCGAAUGGGGAAACCCGGCCGAGCUAAUCCUCGGUCAUCGCUGGCUGAACCCAUAGGCCAGCGAGGGGAACCCGGAGAACUGAAACAUCUCAGUACCCGGAGGAAGAGAGAACAUUCCGUGAGUAGUGGCGAGCGAAAGCGGAGAAGCCCAAACCGGUGUGGCAAGCUACACGGGGGUUGCAGGAUCUCGACACGUGGAGUGAAAAAGCGGAGAGCUAGCGGAACUACCUGGAAAGGUAGACCAGAGAGGGUGACAGUCCCGUAGGCGAAAGUUCGAAGGCUCCGUCGAGAGACCUGAGUACCACGGGACACGAGGAAUCCUGUGGGAAGCUGGGGAGACCACUUCCCAAGGCUAAAUACUCUUGAUGACCGAUAGUGAACAAGUACCGUGAGGGAAAGGUGAAAAGAACCGCGGUGAGCGGAGUGAAAUAGAAUCUGAAACUGUGUGCCUACAAUCAGUCGGAGCGCGAUGUGCUUCUCUAAGGAGGAGCGGGCGCGUGACGGCGUGCCUUUUGGAGAAUGAACCAACGAGUUACGUCUCGGUAGCCAGGUUAAGCCAGGGACAGGCGAAGCCGUAGCGAAAGCGAGUCUGAAAAGGGCGCAGAGUUGCCGGGAGUAGACACGAAACCGGGUGAGCUAACCAUGGCCAGGUUGAAGCGGGAGUAAUGUCUCGUGGAGGACCGAACGGGUGUAUGUUGCAAAGUGUUCCGAUGAGCUGUGGUUAGGGGUGAAAUGCCAAACGAACCCGGAGAUAGCUUGUUCUCCCCGAAAUAGCUUUAGGGCUAGCGUCAGGCGAUGAGUGUCGGAGGUAGAGCACUGGAUUGGCUAGGGGGCGUAGAGCUUACNNNNNNNNNNNNNNNNNNNNNNNNNNNNNNNNNNNNNNNCUGGCAGUUGGACUGUGGGAGAUGAGUUCCAUGGUCGAGAGGGAAAGAGCCCAGACCGUCAGCUAAGGUCCCGAAGUGUACGCUAAGUGGGAAAGGAUGUGAGACUACCCAGACAGCCAGGAGGUUGGCUUAGAAGCAGCCAUCCUUGAAAGAGUGCGUAAUAGCUCACUGGUCGAGUGGUGUUGCGCCGAAAAUGUAACGGGGCUCAAGCCUGCCACCGAAGCUACGGGUAGACGAAAGCCGCAAGG
rnacentral:rRNA from 1 species